GAACUAUUUUUAAAUGUGUUUUGAAAACAUGUUUUGAGGUAACUCGUAGUUUU
rnacentral:tRNA from 2 species